ncrna:unclassified sequences eL15-Euryarchaeota ribosomal protein leader
CCUGUCUACGCAGGUCGGGAUGUGAUUCCCAGCCGUCGAAGCUCGGGAAUUGAACCACACA